UACGUAGGGGGCAAGCGUUGUCCGGAUUUAUUGGGCGUAAAGAGCGUGUAGGCGGCCAUACAGGUCCGUUGUGAAAACUCGAGGCUUAACCUCGAGACGUCGAUGGAAACCGUAUGGCUAGAGUCCGGAAGAGGAGAGUGGAAUUCCUGGUGUAGCGGUGAAAUGCGCAGAUAUCAGGAAGAACACCCGUGGCGAAGGCGGCUCUCUGGGACGGUACUGACGCUGAGACGCGAAAGCAUGGGGAGCGAACAGG
rnacentral:rRNA from 1 species